rnacentral:sRNA from 1 species
AUUAUUUUAUCAAUAAAUGUUAAAAUUGAUUUCUAUUUUUGGCUUUUUUAAUUGGAAAAGAACUGACCUAUCUAAUGGCAAAUGCUUGCGAAUAAGUUGUACAGGAAUCUAAGAGCUGCAGAGCAAGUUUUCGCAAUUGGUUUUUCUGGCCUAAAAUGCACAAAUAAUAUUCAUCUUUUGUUUAGGAUAAUCAUUCCUAUGGCUUUAUAAUAGUCCAAUCGAUUUGGUACAAGGAAAUAUUUCUAGUGCUGGAUUUCAUUGGCAUUGUUUGGGUUUGGGUGUGUGUAUGCUGUGUUUGUCGCCCUUGAACAUUUAUUAUCUCUUACAAACGUCACGUAUUAUAUCGGUAUUUACGCAACACUGAUUCUGUUAUUGAACUGUGUCUUUGUUGUUAUGUUGAUGAUGGUGCGAUGCUUUUUCCAUUGGCGUACAGAGGCUGUUUAAAGCCGCGAAGUUAAAUCUUAAGUUGAUUAUAAAAGGCCUUCUUGUUUCGUUUAACACGGA